rnacentral:rRNA from 1 species
GAUGAACGCUGGCGGCGUGCCUAAUACAUGCAAGUCGAACGAGGCCCCCACCUUCGGGUGGGAUGUCCUAGUGGCGAACGGGUGAGUAUCACGUUGGUGACCUACCCCGAAGAGGGGGACAACUCCGGGAAACUGGAGCUAAUACCCCAUGUGAUCCUAAGGACUAGAUGCCUAAGGAUGAAAGGGAGCAAUCCGCUUCGGGAGGGGCCUGCGGCCUAUCAGCUAGUUGGUGAGGUAAUGGCUCACCAAGGCGACGACGGGUAGGGGACCUGAGAGGGUGAUCCCCCACACUGGAACUGAAACACGGACCAGACACCUACGGGUGGCAGCAGUAGGGAAUAUUGCACAAUGGGCGAAAGCCUGAUGCAGCAACGCCGCGUGCGCGAUGAAGGCCUUCGGGUUGUAAAGCGCUUUUCUGGGGGACGAGAAAGGACGGUACCCCAGGAAUAAGUCUCGGCUAACUACGUG